rnacentral:tRNA from 1 species
GACACUGCGCCGGACUGAACGGAUUAUAUUGAUGUUAUAAACUAUAAGAUUAUUCUUCUGUGUCU